rnacentral:rRNA from 1 species
AUUGAACGCUGGCGGCAGGCCUAACACAUGCAAGUCGAACGAGUGGCGGACGGGUGAGUAAUGUCUGGGAAACUGCCUGAUGGAGGGGGAUAACUACUGGAAACGGUAGCUAAUACCGCAUACCAUCAGAUGUGCCCAGAUGGGAUUAGCUAGUUGGUGGGGUAACGGCUCACCAAGGCUACGAUCCCUAGCUGGUCUGAGAGGAUGACCAGCCACGUUGGAACUUAGCCACGGUCCAGCCUCCUACGGGAGGCAGCAGUGGUGAAUAUUGCACAAAGGGCGAAAGCCUGAUGCAGCCCUGCCGCGUGUAUGCAGAAGGCCUUCGGGUUGUAAAGUACUGUCAGCGGGGAGGCGUUACCCGCAGAAUAAGCACCGGCUAACUCCGUGCCAGCCGCCGCGGUAAUAC